GGCAGGGGUAGAAAGUAGAUGCACUUAUUUCCAUCGUCGUGAUCUCUAAGAUAGAUCUUAUUCUGACAAGUGAGGAGCCUUGUUCAACUGUAAUGUAAGAAAAACAGGGAAACUGGAGCAAUGAAGAAUAUAUUGUGAGCUGGAUAUCAGGAAUAUGACAAGAACUGCGCGCGAGGGCCCCUUGUCUGGAGGUUAGCAGCGCGAAUCGGAAAACACAUGCACUUUUAUAGACCUUUGUACUAGUGAAUAUGCCCUUGACCGACACGCCAUAGAGUUAGUAAGAAAGUGGAGGUAAUUAUCCUCACUUGCAGCUGAGAGCGAAGCUGAAUUGCAAAGGACACAGCUCAACCUGAUCCAGUCAGAGUUUUCCAAGGUCGCCUCUGGCUCAGUCAGAGACUAAUUCCAACACACCCUGUCAGUAUUUCCAGUGGGAGGAAACCG